rnacentral:rRNA from 1 species
AUUGAACGCUGGCGGAAUGCUUUACACAUGCAAGUCGAACGGUAGAGGGGCAACCCUUGAGAGUGGCGAACGGGUGAGUAAUGUAUCGGAACAUGCCCAGUCGUGGGGGAUAACGUAGCGAAAGUUACGCUAAUACCGCAUACGAUCUAUGGAUGAAAGCGGGGGAUCGCAAGACCUCGCGCGAUUGGAGUGGCCGAUAUCAGAUUAGGUAGUUGGUGGGGUAAAGGCCUACCAAGCCGACGAUCUGUAGCUGGUCUGAGAGGACGACCAGCCACACUGGGACUGAGACACGGCCCAGACUCCUACGGGAGGCAGCAGUGGGGAAUUUUGGACAAUGGGCGAAAGCCUGAUCCAGCCAUUCCGCGUGCAGGAAGAAGGCCUUCGGGUUGUAAACUGCUUUUGUACGGAACGAAACGCGCUGUGCUAAUACCACGGCGUAAUGACGGUACCGUAAGAAUAAGCACCGGCUAACUACGUGCCAGCAGCCGCAGUAA